rnacentral:rRNA from 1 species
CCUACGGGUGGCAGCAGUGGGGAAUAUUGGACAAUGGGCGAAAGCCUGAUCCAGCCAUGCCGCGUGUGUGAAGAAGGCCUUCGGGUUGUAAAGCACUUUCAGUGGGGAAGAAAGUCUUGGGGCUAAUACCCUCGAGGAAGGACAUCACCCACAGAAGAAGCACCGGCUAACUCCGUGCCAGCAGCCGCGGUAAUACGGAGGGUGCGAGCGUUAAUCGGAAUUACUGGGCGUAAAGCGCGCGUAGGCGGUCUGAUAAGCCGGUUGUGAAAGCCCCGGGCUCAACCUGGGAACGGCAUCCGGAACUGUCAGGCUAGAGUGCAGGAGAGGAAGGUAGAAUUCCCGGUGUAGCGGUGAAAUGCGUAGAGAUCGGGAGGAAUACCAGUGGCGAAGGCGGCCUUCUGGACUGACACUGACGCUGAGGUGCGAAAGCGUGGGUAGCAAACAGGAUUAGAUACCCUUGUAGUC